UACGUAGGUGGCAAGCGUUGUCCGGAAUUAUUGGGCGUAAAGCGCGCGCAGGCGGUCCUUUAAGUCUGAUGUGAAAGCCCACGGCUCAACCGUGGAGGGUCAUUGGAAACUGGGGGACUUGAGUACAGAAGAGAAGAGUGGAAUUCCACGUGUAGCGGUGAAAUGCGUAGAGAUGUGGAGGAACACCAGUGGCGAAGGCGACUCUUUGGUCUGUAACUGACGCUGAGGCGCGAAAGCGUGGGGAGUGAACAGG
rnacentral:rRNA from 1 species